CAGAGGGGGCAAGCGUUGUUCGGAAUUACUGGGCGUAAAGGGCGCGUAGGCGGCCCGCUAAGUCGAACGUGAAAUCCCCGAGCUCAACUCGGGAACUGCGUCCGAUACUGGCGGGCUUGAAUCCGGGAGAGGGAUGCGGAAUUCCAGGUGUAGCGGUGAAAUGCGUAGAUAUCUGGAGGAACACCGGUGGCGAAGGCGGCAUCCUGGACCGGCAUUGACGCUGAGGCGCGAAAGCUAGGGGAGCAAACGGGAUUAGAUACCCCGGUAGUCCUAGCCCUAAACGAUGAAUGCUUGGUGUGGCGGGUAUCGAUCCCUGCCGUGCCGAAGCUAACGCAUUAAGCAUUCCGCCUGGGGAGUACGGGUCGCAAGGCUG
rnacentral:rRNA from 1 species